UACGUAGGGUCCGAGCGUUGUCCGGAAUUACUGGGCGUAAAGAGCUCGUAGGUGGUUUGUCGCGUUGUUCGUGAAAACCGGGGGCUUAACCCUCGGCGUGCGGGCGAUACGGGCAGACUUGAGUACUGCAGGGGAGACUGGAAUUCCUGGUGUAGCGGUGGAAUGCGCAGAUAUCAGGAGGAACACCGGUGGCGAAGGCGCCGCUCUGGGCCGAGACUGACGCUGAGGAGCGAAAGCGUGGGUAGCAAACAGG
rnacentral:rRNA from 1 species